GACGAACGCUGGCGGCGUGCCUAACACAUGCAAGUCGAGCGGAAAGGCCCCUUUGGGGGUACUCGAGCGGCGAACGGGUGAGUAACACGUGAGUAAUCUGCCCUCCACUUUGGGAUAACCCCCGGAAACGGGAGCCAAUACCGAAUAGGACUGCGCUCUUCAUGGGGUGUGGUGGAAAGCUUUUGCGGUGUGGGAUGGGCCCGCGGCCUAUCAGCCUGUUGGUGGGGUAAUGGCCUACCAAGGCGACGACGGGUAGCCGGCCUGAGAGGGUGACCGGCCACACUGGGACUGAGAUACGGCCCAGACUCCUACGGGAGGCAGCAGUGGGGAAUAUUGCACAAUGGGCGCAAGCCUGAUGCAGCGACGCCGCGUGAGGGAUGACGGCCUUCGGGUUGUAAACCUCUUUCAGUACCGACGAAGCGCAAGUGACGGUAGGUACAGAAGAAGGACCGGCCAACUACGUGCCAGCCGCCGCCGUAACAC
rnacentral:rRNA from 1 species